rnacentral:rRNA from 1 species
GACGAACGCUGGCGGCGUGCUUAACACAUGCAAGUCGAACGGAAAGGCCCUGCUUUUGUGGGGUGCUCGAGUGGCGAACGGGUGAGUAACACGUGAGUAACCUGCCCUUGACUUUGGGAUAACUUCAGGAAACUGGGGCUAAUACCGGAUAGGAGCUCCUGCUGCAUGGUGGGGGUUGGAAAGUUUCGGCGGGUGGGGAUGGACUCGCGGCUUAUCAGCUUGUUGGUGGGGUAGUGGCUUACCAAGGCUUUGACGGGUAGCCGGCCUGAGAGGGUGACCGGCCACAUUGGGACUGAGAUACGGCCCAGACUCCUACGGGAGGCAGCAGUGGGGAAUAUUGCACAAUGGGCGGAAGCCUGAUGCAGCAACGCCGCGUGCGGGAUGACGGCCUUCGGGUUGUAAACCGCUUUCGCCUGUGACGAAGCGUGGGUGACGGUAAUGGAUAAAGAAGCACCGGCUAACUACGUG